rnacentral:lncRNA from 1 species
UUGCUGUCCGUAGGGUGAACGCAAGGCGGCUCGUGGCGGCCGCAAUUUCUACGCUGCGCUUUUCAUCUCUGAAGCCAUGCGCAGCAGCGUGCAGUCGUCAUGUUCAGAAAAGCAGUGCAAAGGUACCCGAAUAAGCUGUACAACAUUGCUGCAAGGUGCCUUGGUAAACCAGUACCCAGCCCUGAGGAACAGAUUGGACUCUGGCUAUACGCCAGAACAGGAGUUUGCCCACCCCACAUUGCUGUACACUGGCGACAACCGCAUCUCUUCCAAGGCCCUGUGUGUGAAGUGUGGAUAUGUAUGUGUAGAUGUAUUGGACUUCACUUCCGGUGUAACGGGGUUAUUUUUAUUUUCUAUGUACUGGGGCUUUCAACAUCGAAUACAUCAGCUCUGCGGAGCAGACACUCUCAUUGCUGCAACACAUGAUUGAAAUGAAAACGAAAACGACAAAACUAGGCGCCAAGUCCCAACAGCUUUAAUAGC